CCUACGGGUGGCAGCAGUGAGGAAUAUUGGUCAAUGGGCGCGAGCCUGAACCAGCCAAGUCGCGUGAGGGAAGACGGUCCUAUGGAUUGUAAACCUCUUUUGUCGGGGAUAACACCCUCCACUUGUGGAGGUCUGCAGGUACCGUGCGAAUAAGGGCCGGCUAAUUCCGUGCCAGCAGCCGCGGUAAUACGGAAGGCCCGAGCGUUAUCCGGAUUCAUUGGGCUUAAAGGGAGCGUAGGCGGGCGUUCAAGUCAGCUGUAAAAUCGCGCGGCUCAACCGCGCCCCGCAGUUGAAACUGGACGCCUUGAGUUCACAACAGGCAGGCGGAAUUCGUGGUGUAGCGGUGAAAUGCAUAGAUAUCACGAGGAACCCCGAUUGCGAAGGCAGCCUGCCGGGGUGUGACUGACGCUGAGGCUCGAAGGUGCGGGUAUCAAACAGGAUUAGAUACCCUUGUAGUC
rnacentral:rRNA from 1 species